rnacentral:piRNA from 1 species
UNCACUAACUAACUCAAGGUACACUUUGGCC